GACAUUUCUUCAUCUUUCUCAGCCAGAAACGCCGUAGCAGGUCUCCUAUGCUGGUUUUUCAUAUUUUUGCACCAUUACUUAUCUAGUCACUCGGGGAUCGAAGGAAAUGUCGGAGGCCGAUCACACUAUCAAAGAAAUAACUCGGUAUAACUAGACGUUUUGUUUUGGGUAUGGCAUGUAUAGAAACUUAGCUACUUUUGGUAUAAUAUGAAUAAUGAAUGAUGUGUAAA